rnacentral:miRNA from 1 species
UGAGGAGUUUAGAGCAAGUAAA